CACGUAGGGCGCGAGCGUUGUCCGGAAUUAUUGGGCGUAAAGAGCUCGUAGGCGGCCUGUUGCGUCCGCUGUGAAAGCCCGGGGCUUAACCCCGGGUCUGCAGUGGAUACGGGCAGGCUAGAGGUAGGUAGGGGAGAAUGGAAUUCCCGGUGUAGCGGUGAAAUGCGCAGAUAUCGGGAGGAACACCGGUGGCGAAGGCGGUUCUCUGGGCCAUUACUGACGCUGAGGAGCGAAAGCGUGGGGAGCGAACAGG
rnacentral:rRNA from 1 species